GGAUGUGAGGGCGAUCUGGCUGUGACAUCUGUCACACCAUUGAUCCCCAGGGUUGAUUCCGCUGAUCCGGCUGGCUAGACAGGUGUUGCCUUCCUCCCUCACCACUCCAUGUGCAUCUCUCCAGAAGCUGUAGGCUCAGUAGAAGAGGACGGCCUUCCCUGAAUAGAGACGGACUAGUUUUCAGUCGAGGGUAUACGAGUAGCUGUGCUCCCCUGCUAGAACCUCCAAAUAAGCUCUCAAGGUCCAUUUGUAGGAGAAUGAAGGGUAGUCAAUCUUCCAAGACUCCAGACACAUCCAAAUGAAGCACUGCAUGUGGCAGUCUGCCUUCCUUU
ensembl:misc_RNA 7SK 7SK RNA